rnacentral:rRNA from 1 species
GACAGAGGAUGCAAGCGUUAUCCGGAAUCAUUGGGUUUAAAGGGUCCGUAGGCGGUUUAAUAAGUCAGUGGUGAAAGCCCAUCGCUCAACGGUGGAACGGCCAUUGAUACUGUUAAACUUGAAUUAUUAGGAAGUAACUAGAAUAUGUAGUGUAGCGGUGAAAUGCUUAGAGAUUACAUGGAAUACCAAUUGCGAAGGCAGGUUACUACUAAUGGAUUGACGCUGAUGGACGAAAGCGUGGGUAGCGAACAGG